AUUGAACGCUGGCGGCAGGCCUAACACAUGCAAGUCGAACGAGUGGCGGACGGGUGAGUAAUGUUUGGGAAACUGGCUGAUGGAGGGGGAUAACUACGGGAAACGGUAGCUAAUACCGCAUACCAUCGGAUGUGCCCAGUUGGGAUUAGCGAGUUGGUGGGGUAAAGGCUCACCAAGCCGACGAUCCCUAGCUGGUCUGAGAGGAUGACCAGCCACACUGGAACUGAGACAAGGCCCAGACUCCUACGGGAGGCAGCAGUGGGGAAUAUUGCACAAUGGGGGCAACCCUGAUGCAGCCAUGCCGCGGGAAUGAAGAAGGCCUUCGGGUUGUAAAGUUCUUUCAGCGGGGAGGCGUUAACCACAGAAGAAGCACCGGCUAACUCCGUGCCAGCAGCCGCGGUAAUAC
rnacentral:rRNA from 1 species